rnacentral:sRNA from 2 species
CCGCCCGUCACACCAUGGGAGCUGGUAAUACCCAAAGUCGGUUAGCUAACCUCGGAGGCGACCGCCUAAGGUAGGACUGGUGACUGGGGUGAAGUCGUAACAAGGUAUCCCUACGAGAACGUGGGGAUGGAUCACCUCCUUUCAACGGAGUACAUAAUGUUAUGGAAAAAUUAUUUGUAUCCAGUUUUGAGAGAUUUAUCUCUCUUGUUCUUUGAAAACUGAAUAUCGACAUUGAAAAAUUAAAUUAUUAAUAUUUCAAAGUUUAGAUCAACCUAUAGAAUAUAUCAUACAAUAGACAAACAAUAGGUCUUAUACUACUAUUAAACAAGAUAAGAGUUUUUGGUGGAUGCCUUGGGUCUGGAAGUCGAUGAAGGACGUGAUUACCUGCGAUAAGCCUCGGUUAGCUGGAAAUAUGCUGUUAUCCGGGGAUUUCCGAAUGGGGAAACCUAAUUGAGCUAAUCCUCAAUUAUCAUAUCGAUGAAUUCAUAGUCGAAUGAAGAGACACGCUGUGAAUUGAAACAUCUCAGUAGCAGCAGGAAGAGAAAAUAAAGAAUGAUUCCCUCAGUAGUGGCGAGCGAACGGGGAAGAGCCCAAACCAACAUUCGUUGUUGGGGUUGUAGGACUACAUUAUAGAGUUACAAAAUUUAUACAUAGCAGAAUAAGUUGGAAUGCUUAAACAUAGAGGGUGAAAUUCCCGUAAGCGAAAUGUCUAAAUCUCUUUGUAGUAUCCUGAGUAGGGCGGGGCACGUGAAACCCUGUCUGAAUCUGCCGGGACCACCCGGUAAGGCUAAAUACUAACCAGACACCGAUAGUGAACUA